GGGUUGUGAGGUUAAGCGACUAAGCGUACACGGUGGAUGCCCUGGCAGUCAGAGGCGAUGAAGGACGUGCUAAUCUGCGAAAAGCGUCGGUAAGGUGAUAUGAACCGUUACAGCCGGCGAUGUCCGAAUGGGGAAACCCAGUGCAAUUCGUUGCACUAUCGUUAACUGAAUACAUAGGUUAACGAGGCGAACCGGGGAAACUGAAACAUCUAAGUACCCCGAGGAAAAGAAAUCAACCGAGAUUCGCCCAGUAGCGGCGAGCGAACGGGGAGCAGCCCAGAGUCUGAAUCAGCUUGUGUGUUAGUGGAACGGUCUGGAAAGUCCGACGGUACAGGGUGAUAGUCCCGUACACCAAAAUGCACAGGUUGUGAACUCGAAGAGUAGGGCGGGACACGUGGUAUCCUGUCUGAAUAUGGGGGGACCAUCCUCCAAGGCUAAAUACUCCUGACUGACCGAUAGUGAACCAGUACCGUGAGGGAAAGGCGAAAAGAACCCCGGCGAGGGGAGUGAAAAAGAACCUGAAACCGUGUACGUACAAGCAGUGGGAGCACCCUUUGGGGUGUGACUGCGUACCUUUUGUAUAAUGGGUCAGCGACUUAUAUUCUGUAGCAAGGUUAACCGUAUAGGGGAGCCGCAGGGAAACCGAGUCUUAACUGGGCGUUAAGUUGCAGGGUAUAGACCCGAAACCCGGUGAUCUAGCCAUGGGCAGGUUGAAGGUUGGGUAACACUAACUGGAGGACCGAACCGACUAAUGUUGAAAAAUUAGCGGAUGACUUGUGGCUGGGGGUGAAAGGCCAAUCAAACCGGGAGAUAGCUGGUUCUCCCCGAAAGCUAUUUAGGUAGCGCCUCGUGAAUUCAUCUUCGGGGGUAGAGCACUGUUUCGGCUAGGGGUCAUCCCAACUUACCAACCCGAUGCAAACUACGAAUACCGAAGAAUGUUAUCACGGGAGACACACGGCGGGUGCUAACGUCCGUCGUGAAGAGUGAAACAACCCAGACCGCCAGCUAAGGUCCCAAAGUCACAGUUAAGUGGGAAACGAUGUGGGAAGGCACAGACAGCCAAGAUGUUGGCUUAGAAGCAGCCAUCAUUUAAAGAAAGCGUAAUAGCUCACUGGUCGAGUCGGCCUGCGCGGAAGAUGUAACGGGGCUAAACUGUGCACCGAAGCUGCGGCAGCGACACUAUGUGUUGUUGGGUAGGGGAGCGUUCUGUAAGCCUGCGAAGGUGGCCUGUGAGGGUUGCUGGAGGUAUCAGAAGUGCGAAUGCUGACAUAAGUAACGAUAAUGCGGGUGAAAAGCCCGCACGCCGGAAGACCAAGGGUUCCUGUCCAACGUUAAUCGGGGCAGGGUGAGUCGACCCCUAAGGCGAGGCCGAAAGGCGUAGUCGAUGGGAAACAGGUUAAUAUUCCUGUACUUGGUGUUACUGCGAAGGGGGGACGGAGAAGGCUAUGUUAGCCGGGCGACGGUUGUCCCGGUUUAAGCAUGUAGGCGGCGGUUCCAGGUAAAUCCGGUACCUUUUAACGCUGAGGUGUGAUGACGAGGCACUACGGUGCUGAAGUAACAAAUGCCCUGCUUCCAGGAAAAGCCUCUAAGCAUCAGGUAACAUUAAAUCGUACCCCAAACCGACACAGGUGGUCAGGUAGAGAAUACCAAGGCGCUUGAGAGAACUCGGGUGAAGGAACUAGGCAAAAUGGUGCCGUAACUUCGGGAGAAGGCACGCUGAUAUGUAGGUGAAGCCCCUGCGGGUGGAGCUGAAAUCAGUCGAAGAUACCAGCUGGCUGCAACUGUUUAUUAAAAACACAGCACUGUGCAAACACGAAAGUGGACGUAUACGGUGUGACGCCUGCCCGGUGCCGGAAGGUUAAUUGAUGGGGUUAUCCGUAAGGAGAAGCUCUUGAUCGAAGCCCCGGUAAACGGCGGCCGUAACUAUAACGGUCCUAAGGUAGCGAAAUUCCUUGUCGGGUAAGUUCCGACCUGCACGAAUGGCGUAAUGAUGGCCAGGCUGUCUCCACCCGAGACUCAGUGAAAUUGAACUCGCUGUGAAGAUGCAGUGUACCCGCGGCAAGACGGAAAGACCCCGUGAACCUUUACUAUAGCUUGACACUGAACAUUGAGCCUUGAUGUGUAGGAUAGGUGGGAGGCUUUGAAGCGUGGACGCCAGUCUGCGUGGAGCCAACCUUGAAAUACCACCCUUUAAUGUUUGAUGUUCUAACGUUGGCCCCUUAUCGGGGUUGCGGACAGUGUCUGGUGGGUAGUUUGACUGGGGCGGUCUCCUCCCAAAGAGUAACGGAGGAGCACGAAGGUUAGCUAAUCUGGUCGGACAUCAGGAGGUUAGUGCAAUGGCAUAAGCUAGCUUGACUGCGAGCGUGACGGCGCGAGCAGGUGCGAAAGCAGGUCAUAGUGAUCCGGUGGUUCUGAAUGGAAGGGCCAUCGCUCAACGGAUAAAAGGUACUCCGGGGAUAACAGGCUGAUACCGCCCAAGAGUUCAUAUCGACGGCGGUGUUUGGCACCUCGAUGUCGGCUCAUCACAUCCUGGGGCUGAAGUAGGUCCCAAGGGUAUGGCUGUUCGCCAUUUAAAGUGGUACGCGAGCUGGGUUUAGAACGUCGUGAGACAGUUCGGUCCCUAUCUGCCGUGGGCGCUGGAGAAUUGAGGGGGGCUGCUCCUAGUACGAGAGGACCGGAGUGGACGCAUCACUGGUGUUCGGGUUGUCAUGCCAAUGGCAUUGCCCGGUAGCUAAAUGCGGAAGAGAUAAGUGCUGAAAGCAUCUAAGCACGAAACUUGCCCCGAGAUGAGUUCUCCCUGAGACUUUAAGUCUCCUGAAGGAACGUUAAAGACGAUGACGUUGAUAGGUCGGGUGUGUAAGCGUAGCGAUACGUUGAGCUAACCGAUACUAAUGAACCGUGAGGCUUAACCUUACAACGCCGAAGGUGUUU
rnacentral:rRNA from 1 species